rnacentral:rRNA from 1 species
AGGACGAACGCUGGCGGCGCGCUUAACACAUGCAAGUCGAGCGAUCGGUCGAGCCUUCGGGCUCGGCACGGAGCGGCGAACGGGUGAGUAACACGUGGGUGACCUACCCUUGGCUCUGGGAUAACUCCGGGAAACCGGUGCUAAUACCGGAUGGCCUCCGACGUCUCAGGGCAACGGAGAAAAGGUAGCUUCGGCUUCCGACCGAGGAUGGGCCCGCGGCCGAUUAGCUUGUUGGUGGGGUAAUGGCCCACCAAGGCGACGAUCGGUAGCUGGUGUGAGAGCAUGACCAGCCACACUGGGACUGAGACACGGCCCAGACUCCUACGGGAGGCAGCAGUGGGAAUCGUUGCGCAAUGGGACGAAAGCCUGACGCAGCGACGCCGCGUGCGGGAAGAAGGCCUUCGGGUUGUAAACCGCUUUACGAGGGGACGAAGGCCGACGUCGGUAAUAGCCAGAGGUGACGGUACCGUCAGAACGAAGACCCCGGCUAACUACGUGCCAGCGACGCCGAC